GGUCGGUGACGAGAACUACGGCGAGGGCAGCAGCCGCGAGCACGCCGCGCUGGAGCCCCGCCACCUGGGCGGCGUGGCCAUCAUCGUGAAGUCGUUCGCGCGCAUCCACGAGACUAACCUGAAGAAGCAGGGUAUGCUGCCCGUGACCUUCGCCAACCCCGCCGACUACGACAAGAUUGACCCCACCGACACCAUCUCCAUCGUGGGCCUGAAGACCUUCGCGCCCGGCGUGCCGCUCAAGGUGGUGGGCAAGAAGAAGGACGGCUCGACCUACGAGUUCCCCGUCAACCACACCUUCAACGACAACCAGAUCAGCUGGUUCAAGGCCGGCUCGGCGCUGAACGCCAUGGCCGCCGCCUUCAAGGCCGGCAAGAUGUAAAGCGCUUUUGGGGAAGCGCCCAUGGUGGGGAAAAGCUUAAUUGGAGG
rnacentral:lncRNA from 1 species